rnacentral:rRNA from 1 species
UACGUAGGGUGCAAGCGUUAAUCGGAAUUACUGGGCGUAAAGCGUGCGCAGGCGGUUCGCUAAGACAGAUGUGAAAUCCCCGGGCUUAACCUGGGAACUGCAUUUGUGACUGGCGGGCUAGAGUAUGGCAGAGGGGGGUAGAAUUCCACGUGUAGCAGUGAAAUGCGUAGAGAUGUGGAGGAAUACCGAUGGCGAAGGCAGCCCCCUGGGCCAAUACUGACGCUCAGGUGCGAAAGCGUGGGGAGCAAACAGG